UAUAUAUAUAUAUAUAUAUAUAUAUAUAUAUAUAUAAUAGAUAAUAAACUAGGUUGGCAUUGAUACAUGUGAUCACUCAAAGUUUUUACGACAAGUCAGACUUGUAUUGCUCAAUUUAUUGAUAUCAAGCAUUCAUUAGAACUUAUUCAUAUUUUAAAUGUUCCUAUUCCAGUACACGAUACAUUAGAUAACAUGUGGAUUACAACAAAAUCUAUCAUAUAAGAAAAUUAGGUGUUCUUAAAAACCCCUAAUUACCCUUAUUAAUCCAUAAUCUUCCACGUGGAUAGGUUUAGCAUUAAACAUCUCUAAAAAUUUUGUUUCAAAACUCAAUAAAAGUUUUCCUCAUUUAACCACAGUUUAAUAAAAAACGGUUUCUCUUCCAUCUACACAAACUUCUCUUCCAUGUUCCAUCUACACAAAUCGUCCCUCCCUCAUUACAACAUGGAUCUUCUCCUCUUACCAUUUCCCAUAUCCAUCCCCUCUAUGUUGUUCAAUUCAUUUUGAAAUCUUACAACUUCCGCCAACUUAUUCAUCUUUCUGUUUCUCUUUUCUUCCUACUUCUUCUUCAUCUUCAUAAUGCUUUAGAUAAAAGUAGAUGGAAUUAGGUUUGGAACGACAAUGAAUAUGAAUGUGCCGACAGAACAGAAAGUUUAUUUUUCAGUAAGUUUAUUAUUAUUUUUUUAUGCAUUAGUUUCUAAUCUAUUUUCUUCUCCCUGUGAAUCUUUGGUUUUGAAUGGAUUUUGUGUGUCUCUUAGCAUCAUGCAAAAUAAGAGCUGAAGGAACAAGGAUCUGAGAGAAAUGUGCCUUUUAUGUCUUCAUUUUCUUCAACAAAGAUGUUCCUUUUAUCUUUCCCUGAAAGUGGUAGGUUUGUGGUGACGGUAACAAAUUUUCGGCAAUGAGUUUUGUUUAAUUUUUCGAUUGGAUUAUGCACACAAGAAGAAGAUUGAGCAUAAAUGGAUCUAUUUCUCUCUUUUAUUCUUAAUUUUUUGUUAUUUUUUCUCUGAUUUUUUUGUACUUGAAAGAUCUUGGAGAGAAAGAGGUGAAAUGGUAGAAGACAACAAAAGAGCAACAUCUGUCAACCAUCAGAACCUUUACCUUGGCGUUGAGAGUAAUAGAUUUGUCAUGUCACAUGUGCAAAGGGAAGAAAUCUCAGGAUCCUCUCGAUAUGGCACUUUUAAUUGUUGGUGGAGAGUUUCAGACAGGUUGAACGAACUUGAAAUUUUCAUAUGGAUUCAGAUUGAUGCUAUAGCGCACUAAAGGCAUCAUCACUUUUAAUGAGUUUAGGCGUAUUGUAUUGAGGAAUCUCUGGUUUAUCCAGCAUUGAAGGAAAUUGUCGGUUUUAUAAAAUAUCAGGAUGCACUUCAAAUUUCAAGUAUCAAUGUCAUUUGUUUACUUGGCUGCUGGAGCUGAAAUAGCAUCAUUCCUAUUUGAAGGAGCUUCUAUAGUGUAUGGUUUAUGAAAAUUUCAUUAAGGUUACUUUGGGGUUGGAAUAAGUGUGUUGAGAUUAAUAAGAUGCAUGACAGCAUGAUUUCUCCGCUGGCAAUGCAAACAAAGGAAUCAAUGUAAGUAUGUAAGUAUAUUACAAUAACAGUAUGCCAUGGUCCACAUGAAGUAUAUGAAACAUGUAUGCCAGUGGCUCACUUGAUUUCCAUGCCCCAGAAGAGCAUAAUUCUUGACUUUUUAAUUAUUAUUGAAGUGUUUCAUUGUAUAUUAGAUAUAUCACAUAUUAUGUUUGCAAGGAAUCAAAAUGAUAAUAAUCGACGAUGUUGUUCCGCCUUCUCUCGCUGAAACGACUAAUUUGAUUUUUUACAAGUUGCCGAUGAUAUUCAAUUGGAGGACCCUAACAUCUCCAGGAUGUGUAAGUUGUUGGUGAUUUUUGAAUUAUAUGUUGUUUCUUAACUUUAUAUCUAUAUAGGAUCAUGAUGCUAUGCUUGAAUUUUGUUAACAUUCUUAGACUGAAUCACUGGAAAUUUGAAGUUCAAGGAACUAAUGUAUGAGAGUUGAUACAAUUAAAUAUUUAAAGAUUUGAAUGAAUUAUCUAUAUAUGAUCAUGAUGCUAAGCUUGCAUUCUGUUAAUAUUCUUACAGUGAAAGAAUGACGCCGAACUGCUUCAGUCAAUAAUCAAUUGCACGCCUUCGGUGUAACUAAAAUGAUGUGGAGGUGAACCACUAACACAGCUAAAAUAAGUCAUGAUAGUGACGGUUUUUACUGACCGAACUUUUACUUUGGUCUCUAAUUCCUUGGUCGCAAAUAUCAGUGACGGAUAUUUUUAUAUUUAUUUAAUUCUUUUAACCUUGCUUUGUAAAAAUCUAAUUUAUUUUCAUAUUCUAAAAGGUGUUUUGUAAUUCUUUCAAUUUCAAAAUCAACUCCUAUUAAUAAAUAGUAAUUAAGUCUAUCAUAUAAUAUUUUAAUGUGACCUCUUGUUCUUUUAAUUAAACUAUUAAGUUCUAUAAUUCGUAAUCUUUCAUUAACUAUACUCAUUUUCUAGUUUUAAAAUAAAUUUUUGUUUUUUAAAAAUUUAAUUAAUUUGAAUCUUAGUGCUCUGAUACCAAAAAUGAUACCUCAUUAUUUAUUGAAAUAAUUUUAUAAUUUAUUUUUAUUAACUUAAUCAUCAUCAAAAUAAUCUCAAAUUUCAUCAUUUUCUAUUAAAGCUAAGUCUAUUAUAAAUUCAUCAUCAUAAAAACUUUCAACUAAUAAAAUAUAAUUUAUAUCACUUUCUAGUGCAUAAUCUAUUUCAUUUUCAAAAAGUAUAGCUUGUGCACAUAAUUUCCCAUAUUCUUUACAUAAUUUUGUUUUUAUGUCAUUUGGUAAAUUAAAUUUCCAAAUACAUCUUAGUUUUUCAUAAAAAUCUUUUUCUUUAUUUUCAAUAUUAUCAAAAUAAGUUAUAUCUAUUUCUUUUUCUUUUUCUUUUAUGCUAAAUUCAGCAAUACUCAUUUUGUUUAAGUUUAUAAUCUAUUUUUUAAAUAUGUUGUUAAGUCCUUUACUUGGUUUGAAAGUUUAUCAAUAUCACUUUCUUCAAUUUUUUCAGGUUUAUAAAAUCUAAGUGGUUUUGGUAUUUGAUUUUUUCUUAACUCUAAAAACUUUGAUUUAUUCAUAAAACUUCCUAGCUCAGUUAUUUCAUUUUUCUUUGGAUAAUAAAUUUUUCCUAUAUCUUCAAAAAGACUUGGAAUAUCAAUUCUAUUAUUAUUUCUAAAGGUAAUACUAUGGUGAGAAUUAGUUAAUGCAUAAUUAACACAAUAAGUGAUUGAAAAUAUUUUAUCUCCUGAUCUCACACUUAAUAAAAGUAAGUAAGUAAAGAAAUUAUACCUGAUCAUGAUUUCUUCUGAAAUUUUUGGUCCACCGCUGCUUCCGUAAGUUUAUGUAAGAUAGUUGAUCAAUAGAUAUAUAUGUUGUGUAAUUUAAUUGAAUGAUUCUUGAAUAAGUAGAAACAUGGUUUUAUUGAUAUAAGUUUAUGUUACAACAAUGCACACAAAAGGUGCCAAGCUAAAUCCUAAAGGAUUAGCAUAUGUUUCUAAAGAGAAACUUACACAAAAGUUGUUUUCUACAACUUGCUUCUCUCCAUCGUAGAAGCCCUUAUUUAUAGCCCUAAACACACAUUAUAAUAUUAUUUUCUAUUUACAACAAGGCAUAGUACUAUUCAUCUAUAGUACCACUUAUUUAAAACACUUAAAUACUACAUGACAAAUGACUUUACUUUUUAUCUACAUCAUGUCUCUAUUAUUACUUCCCCUUAUCAUCAUCUUCAUGACUCUUUUAUUGCUUUCCUUUAUCCUCAUCUUCAAGACUCUAUUAUUGCUUCAUCUUUGUCUUCAUCCUUAAGACACAUGGACUUUUCUAGACACUUAGUCACUUCCAUGGCAUCUUUUUCUUGAAAACAUCUUUCACAUGCAUGAUUUUCACUCUUUUUUAUAUUUGAACAUAAUUCCUUAAGUACACAUGGCUUAUAAUUCAUUGUCUCCUUAUCAAAUGCGUAGAAUGGUAGCUCAAAAGAUGUCAAUAAAUGAAUAUCUCUAUCCUUUAGUACCUUUCCACUUGUCUUGCUUAGUAGUAGGAGAUUAGGUGCUUUGUACAAUACUUUCAUACAUGAAUUCUUUCCAAUAGUUUGACAUUGAAAGAAUAUGCUUGAAAGUUGAUUGGAUAAAAUUAUAUUUAAGUGAUCAUCAUCAUACAUUUCUUCUUUUGAGUCAUCUCUUAAAGGAAAUUGAUUAUUGCUUACUCCAAUGAAGACAAAAUGCUUGGCUGGUUGAUUCGUUGUAAAAUCCGGAUAGGCUGAAUAAAAUUUUAAAUAAAUACUUCUUUCUCCAGCAAUAUUCUUUUUAAAAUUCUGGACUGAUUCUUUAAAAUUAUAUGGGAAAAGAUUAAUUUCUUCCAGAUUUUUACUUAAAUAAAGGCAUUCAAUAAGUCCAAAUUGGAACAUAUUAAAUGUUAGUAAUUGGGAUGCUCCUGGUGUAAUUAUAGCUUUUACUCCAAAAAGCUUUCUAUCCACCAUAUAGAAACAAUUAGUAUUUUCUUUCUCGGUCCAGUAAGUAAGUCUUUUUAAAUUCUCCUUAAAUUUUUCUUCAGAGAAUUUAACCUGAUUUUCAUGCUCUUUUCGAGACAUAAUUGGUAAAUUAUCCAGGGAAGAAGGGAUUCUUCCUAAGAUUUUCAUGGAUGUUCUUUCUGGUGCAUUAUUCUUUGUUGUUUCUGAAAAAGUUCUUGGGCCAAGAUAAAUUUCUUUUCUUGAUUUUUCUGAUUCUCUAUGAUCAUUCAUUGCCUUUUCAGCUUCUUCUUUGGUGGCAUACCCUUUAUAAGUAACUCCUGAGAUUUUUGUACAGUGAGGGGCUGCUUUAUACCAUUCAUCAUAAAUUCCUGGAAAUGGUCCAUUAAAUACUGCAUACCAUUUCUUAGGUUCUUUUAAUUUAAUCUCUUCAAGUGGAUUCUUCAUUCGAAGUUGAGAUUUUAUAAUUUCUAUUUCCUUAUUGAUUAAUUCCACUUCCUUUCCAAUCAGUUCUUGCUCUUUUAUUUUGUGAUUUCUUAGUGCUUCUUUUAACUCCAAUUGCUGUUUCAAAAUUUCUUCUGAGAUUCGUUCCAUUCUCUAGAAAGUAUAUCUGCAAGUACGUUCUUUUCACCUUUAAUGUGAGUAAUUGAGUAAUUAUAUUCGGCUAGUUUCAUCUGCCAUCUUAUAAGUCUCCCUUGCUUGUAAGUUCCUUUAUGAUUAAUAUUUUUGAAACCUGCAACAUAAGUAGAAUCGGUUCUAACAAUAAAUUCUUUAUCAAGAACAUAAAUUCGAUGUUUUUCUAACAUCCGAAUUAAUGCUAAUGUUUCUUUUUCAUGAGUAGGAUAAUUAAUUUCACUGUCUGAAAAGGUUCCAGACAUAUAUCUGCAUAGUAAUUCUUUCUUUUGGCCAGGGGGCUUAGCCUUCAUAACACCUCCCUAACAUUCAUUUGAUGCGUCAGUUUCAAUAAUAAUUAGAUCAUCAUCUGAUGGAUGAUAUAAUUCAGGAAGAUCUCGACAUAAAUAUUUCAAUUUAGUAAUAAGUAUUUCGUCCUCUUCGGUCCAUGACCAAAUAGCAUCCUUCUUAAUUUUUUGUUGAAGUGAUUUUCUUUCAGCUGCAAGAUUUUUAAUAAAACCUUCAUUUGAAAUAUAUGUUAGUAAUCCAAGAAAUCUUUGUAAUUCCUUUUUGUCUUUUAGUUUAGUGGGAAAAUUUUGAAGUUUUUCUAAUACAUGUUUUUGCAUUAUUAGUUUCCCUUUUUCAAUUUCUAAUCCUAAAUAAUUGAUUUUAUUUUGAGCUACUACAGCUUUUUUCUUACUUAAUACUACUCCAUGUUCUAAACACCUAUUAAGUACUAAUUCUACUUUUUUAAAGUGAUCAUCUAGAUCCUUAUUUGAAAAAACUAAUAUAUCAUCAAUAUAAAUAAGACAAAAAUCUUUGAAUUCUUUAAGGAUAGAAUCCAUCCUGCGUUGGAAAAUACCUGGUGAUUGUUUCAUUCCCAUUGGAAGAACAUUCCAUUCAUAUUGACCUUGAGGACAACUAAAUGCUGUUAAAGCUUUAGAUUCUUCUGACAAUCUUACUUGAUAAAAUCCAGAUUUACAAUCAAAAGUACUAAACCAAUUCAUAUUUCUAACUCUUUCAAUAAUUAAAUCCUUUCUUGGAAGAAAAUACGCAUCACCUUCCAUAGCAUCAUUUAUUUGUUUAUAAUUAAUUACCAUUCUCCUCUUUCCUCUUUUAAUCUCAUUAUGAUUUUCAACAUAAAAUGCUGGUGCUGAAUGUUUACUUUUUGAUGGUCUUAUUAAUCCUUUUUCACACAUUUGCUUAAUAUCUUCAGCAAAUUCAUCUCUAUCUUGUUUUGUGUAUAUCAUGGGUUUACAUUUAAUUUCUUUUGUUGGAUCUUUUAGUUUCAAUUCAACUAGUUCCAUAUUUUUAUUAUUAAUUUUAGGAUCUAGUGGGUUUUCACUACACACUUUAUCUAAUAGUUCUUCAAUAUGUAUUGGGAUUUUUCUUCCUGGUUCUAAAUUAAUUAAUGCAUAACGCAUUUUUCUAUAAACUAAAUCUAUAAUUUCACCACGUUUUAGUCUGGAGAGCUCUGAUUGUUUUCUUGAAUAAAUUGUUUGUGAGGAAUGAAUAAUAGGGAUAUCUAUAAUUUCUUUUAGUUGUUUUCCUUUAAUAUAUGGAGCCUUAAUCGAUAUAUACUCUAAGUAUUGGCAAAAGGGUGCAUAUAAUCGUAAGAAAUUAUAUUGUAGGUACUAUGAAUAAUUUAUUUUCAAUAUUUAAAGUAAUUCUUGUAGCUACCCAGUUUAGUGGGUGUAUUGAGCCAUCUGCUAUCUGAAUCUUUAAUGGUUUAUCUAAUCUUUUCCAUUUACUAAAUAAUGCUUUGGUUGCUAUACAAAUACUUGCUCCUGUAUCUAUAUAGGCUUCAGUUUCUUUAUUUUCUUUUUCAAUUUUAAUUUUGAUAUAUGUACUAUUCAGAUUCUGUUUCUUCUGAAGAUAAUUCAUCCUCUAUAUAUUCAUAUACACUACAGUCAGAAUCACUUAAUUCAUCUUCUAAUGGUUCUAAAUUAUAUAUUUUAUAUACUUUCUUUAUUAGUUUUGAUUUUUCUUUAACAUCUUUUUCUUUCUUUGUUGGACAUUCAUUGGCAUAAUGACCUUCUACAUUGCAUAUCCAACAUACGCAUUUCUUUUUUCCCUUUGGACAAUAUUUUUUAGGUGUUUGUUUUCUCUUUCUAAAAUACUUUCUUCUAGUAUUUUUAUAGGCCUUUUUCCUUGGAUAAGUUUUUCUUAAUUUAUGUUUUCUUUUAUAACUCUUUCUACUUCGUUGAUUACAACCAUAAUUUCCUGGUUGCUCUAUCUCUGGUAUAUCACAACAAAGUGAGGUUCUUCCUCUAUUUAAUUGUUUAGCUCUUGUACUCUUUAUACAUUGUCGUCUUAAUUCAUUAUAUAAGAUUUGAAUAAUUCCUCCUAAGCUAUCACCUAAUUCGAUUGGUUGAGAUUUCCAUAUAUCUCUUAUUUUUGCACUAAGUGGGUAUGGUAAUUUGGAUAUAAAGACUCCUCUAUAUAUUUCCCUAGUCUCAUUAUCUAAUUCAUAAUAGUAUUUUUUUAUACUCACAAAUGAAACUAUCUAUUUCACACAUAUUACAUAUCUGCAUAUUAAUUAGAUGAAUUUCUGCCUUUUCUCGCAAAAGUUUAUUUACUUCUGUUUUAUGUUCAAGAGUAUUGUAGCCUAUGAAUUCUUUAUAUAUUAAUUCCAUUAUCAGUUUAGCAAAUUGUUGAUUAUUAUUGUCUACCAUUCCUAUAUAUUGAUUCCAUGUUUCAUCAUUAAUACUUGUUAAGAAUUUCAGCACAUUUCCUGUUGUUCUAUAAGCUAUUAAAUUCUUGACAUCCAUUAGGUUUAUCUUAGAAAAUUUUUCAUCGGUUGCUAUAAGCAUAAUCAUAUCAUUAGACCACCUUUGUAGUAUAUCCUCUGGAUUUCUUACACAGUCUAGGUUUAAUAAUUUUUUAGAUUUAGUUUCUUCAUAGUAAGGUUUAAAUUCUUCCGCAAUUUUUGUCCAUUUUCCACUAGCCUUUGCAUAACCUUUUUUACUCAUAGUUUCAUAUUCAUAGUUUUCCCAAGAACUAUGAGGAUUCCAACUCUCUUCACGUUUUCUUUUUUGUUUAGAAUUACUUGUUUCUCCUUUUAAUUUCCAUAAAUAUUUCAUCUAUAUCUGAUUCAGAUCCUAAUUCAGAUCCUCUUUCUGAAGAAUUAUAAUUUAAUAUUACUUCUUCAUUCUCUUCCUUAGUUUCUAUUUUUUCUAUUUUUUCUACUUGUUUAUUUUCCUCUUCUAUUAUUUGUAGUUGUUCCAUCAAUUGUCUAAUUUCUUCAAUAUCAUUAGAUCUUCUUAAUGCUUCUAUGUAUUCAGUUUUUAUCCCCUCCAUGAAGAUGAUGGGUUUAUUAACAUAAAUGUAGUUAUAGGUUCUUGUUUAACUACUUUUAGGUUGUUUACUUCUUUUGUUCUAACUAAUAUUUCUUCUAAAUCUUUUAUUGUUAUACUUCUAUUACUUUCUUCAUGUUUUAACAAAGGUUUCUAAUUGAUAAAGAAUUUUCCUAAUUUUUUGAAUAUUUAUAUCUUCAUCAAUUUCUUUAUCUCUAUUAAUUUCAUCAAGGGUUUCAUGUAUAUUAUUUAUUUCAUUAAUACCAUUUUUUAUUUUAUUAAAGGUAUAAUCUGCAAUUUUAUUGGUAUUUUCUAUUAAUAAUAUAAUAUUUUUAUUUAUUUCAUUCAUUGUGUUAUUUAAAUCUUUAUACAUCACAUCAAUUUCUUCAGAUAAUGACAUUAUUUUAAAUUGUGUUAUUUUGUAAUUUAUAUUUUUAUGUUACAUGUUAAAUAUGCUUUUUGAGGAGCAUCUUAAACUGAAAUUUUAUACUUUUAAUAUUUCUUUUAGAUAGUUAUGUACUUAUAUUUUCGUAUAUAUCUUAUAGCAGCUACACUUAAUUAUAUAUCAUACAUUAUUUUGAUAGUUUUAUUAUUAUAUAAUUUAAAUUGAAAAUAAAUUAAUAUUUAAAGUUAAGGAAAAAUAUUAUCAAUAUUUAUUUUUAAUAGAGUUUUACAUCACAAUUUUUAAAAAUAUUGAUUGCAUUAACAUAAUCAAACUAAUAAUUUUUUUAUUAAUGAGACUAAUAAUUACGUGGAGUAAUAAUUUAACUUAGAUUUAUGUUAUAAUACUAAUUCCAUCUAUCUAUAACAGUAGCUAACAAACUGGUGUGAUCAUAGCUUUAUGAUUUUAAAUAUAUUUAAAACAUUCAUUUGUUUUAACUAUAGACAAUAAUGUCAUUGCUUAUGAUUUAAAAUAUAUGUUUAAAUUAUUAUGUUUUUUUUAGGAUUAGAUAAGUUUUUGGUCUCUAUAAAUAUUGCAGUUUUAUUUUUAGUCUCUUUUGAGUUUUGGCAACGGUUUUAGUUGGUUUUGACAACGGUUUUAGCUGGUUUUGACAAUGUUUUUUUUGUAAAAACCGUUGCCUAAAGGUAGGAAGGGACUAAAGAUGAAAACUGCAAUAUUUAUACAAACCAAAAACUUAUUUAAUCCAUUUUUUUAUUUUUUAUUCUUAUUACAUUUUAGAUUUAAAUGCUCGUAACACAUCAAUACUCGUACAAACAUACAACUAUUCAGGCCGGAAUUAGUGCGAACUCACGAAUUAUUAUAUUUUUUUACAAUUAAAGAAAGUAAAAGAAAAUAUAUUUAAAAUAAUAUAUGAAUCUAAAAUGAGAAAAAUGUGUUAUUUUUUAAGUAAUUAUGUUCUUAAUAUUCUUAUUUUAAGUUUAUUUUUUAUUUAAGAUACAAUUAUAACGGGAACAUGAGUCAAAAUAUUAAAUAUUAAAUAUUAAAAUAUUGAAUAUUAACGGGAAGUUACUAAUCAAAAUAUUGAAUAUUAACAGGAACAUGAAGUUACUGAUCAAAAUAUUGAAUAUUAACGGGAACAUGAAGUUACUAAUAAAAAUAUUGAAUAUUAACGGGAGCAUGAUGUGGCUGAUCAAAAAAUUGAACAUUAACAGGAACAUAAAGUUAGUGAUCAAACUAUUGACUAUUAACGAAAACGUGAUGUUUCUGAUCAAACUAUUGAAUAUUAACGUGAACAUGAAGUUACUGAUAAAAAUAUUGAAUAUUAACGGGAACAUGAAGUUACUGAUAAAAAUAUUGACUAUUAACGGAAACGUAAAGUUACUGAUCAAACUAUUGAAUAUUAACGGGAACAUGAUGUUACUGAUAAAAAUAUUGAAUAUUAACGAGAACAUGAAGUUAAUGAUAAAAAUAUUAGAUAUUAAUAGGAACAUGAAAUCAAUACUCAGUUAUUCAGACUAGAAUUAGUGCGAACUCACGGAUUAUUAUAUUUUUUACAGUUAAAGGAAGUAAAAGAAAUAUAUUUAAAAUAAUAUAUGAAUUCAAACAUGAGAAAAAUUUGUUAUUUUUUAAUUAAUUAUGUUACUAAUAUUCUUAUCUUAAAUAUAUUUUUUAUUUAAGAUACAAUUAUAACGGGAACAUAAGUCAAAAUAUUAAAUAUUAAAUAUCAAAAUAUUGAAUAUUAACGGGAAGUUACUGAUCAAAAUAUUGAAUAUUAACGGGAACAUAAAGUUACUGAUCAAAAUAUUGAAUAUUAACGGGAAGUUAUUGAUCAAAAUAUUGAAUAUUAACGGGAACAUGAAGUUACUGAUCAAAAUAUUGAAUAUUAACGGAAACAUGAAGUUACUGAUCAAUAUAUUGAAUAUUAACGGUAACAUGAAGUUACUGAUCAAAAUAUUGAAUAUUAACGGGGAAUAUGAAGUUACUGAUCAAAAAAUUGAAUAUUAACGGGAACAUGAAGUUACUGAUAAAAAUAUUAGAUAUUAAUAGGAACAUGAAAUCAAUACUCAGUUAUUCAGACUAGAAUUAGUGCGAACUCACGGAUUAUUAUAUUUUUUUACCGUUAAAGGAAGUAAAAGAAAUAUAUUUAAAAUAAUAUAUGAAUUCAAACAUGAGAAAAAUUUGUUAUUUUUUAAUUAAUUAUGUUACUAAUAUUCUUAUCUUAAAUAUAUUUUUUAUUUAAGAUACAAUUAUAACGGGAACAUAAGUCAAAAUAUUAAAUAUUAAAUAUCAAAAUAUUGAAUAUUAACGGGAAGUUACUGAUCAAAAUAUUGAAUAUUAACGGGAUCAUAAAGUUACUGAUCAAAAUAUUGAAUAUUAACGGGAAGUUAUUGAUCAAAAUAUUGAAUAUUAACGGGAACAUAAAGUUACUGAUCAAAAUAUUGAAUAUUAACGGAAACAUGAAGUUACU